UACAGGGGGUGCAAACGUUGCUCGGAAUCAUUGGGCGUAAAGCGCACGUAGGCGGUUCGUUAUGUCGGAUGUGAAAGCCCUUGGCUUAACCGAGGAAGUGCAUCCGAAACUGGCGAGCUAGAGUACUAAAGAGGAUCGCGGAAUUCCCGGUGUAGAGGUGAAAUUCGUAGAUAUCGGGAGGAACACCUGUGGCGAAAGCGGCUCACUGGACCACAACUGACGCUGAUGCGCGAAAGCUAGGGGAGCAAACAGG
rnacentral:rRNA from 1 species